rnacentral:antisense_RNA from 1 species
UGUGGGAGCUGGCUUGCCAGCGAUGGCGAGAGCACAUCUGGUAUUGAUGACGACUGACCCACCGCUAUCGCUGGCAAGCCAGCUCCCACA